rnacentral:rRNA from 1 species
CAAUAGCGUAUAUUAAAGUUGUUGCAGUUAAAACGCUCGUAGUUGAACUUUGAGCUUCGUAGGCAGUACACUAAGGUGUUGCUGCAAAUUCCUCGUUGGACGCUUAGGCGAAAGACAGGAUAACGAGGCUCUAUAUUCUUUCCUGGUCUUGCGAUUAGGAGGGAAGCAUUACUUUGAGAAAAAUAGAGUGUUCAAAGCAGGCAUUUGCUUGAAUAAAUUAGCAUGGAAUAAUAAAAUAGGACGUAUGGUUGCUAUUUUAUUGGUUUAGUGACCGACGUAAUGAUUAAUAGGGACAGUUGGGGGCGAUUAGUAUUCAGUUGUCAGAGGUGAAAUUCUUGGAUUUACUGAAGACUAACUACUGCGAAAGCAUUUGCCAAGGAUGUUUUCAUUAAUCAAGAACGAAAGUUAAGGGAUCGAAGACGAUCAGAUACCGU